GGUCCCAUAGCUCAGUUGGGAGAGCAUUGCUCUUGACAAGCAAGGUCCCGGGUUCGAGUCCUGGUGGGUCUG